rnacentral:rRNA from 1 species
UACAGAGGUGGCAAGCGUUGUUCGGAAUUACUGGGCGUAAAGGGCGCGUAGGCGGCCUUCUAAGUCAGACGUGAAAUCCCCAGGCUUAACUUGGGAACUGCGUCUGAUACUGGGAGGCUUGAGUGCGGGAGAGGGAUGUGGAAUUCCAGGUGUAGCGGUGAAAUGCGUAGAUAUCGUAAGGAAGACCAGUGGCGAAGGCGGGUCUCUGGACAGUUCCUGACGCUGAGGCACGAAGGUCAGGGGAGCAAACGGGG